CUCAUCGUGUAAGUGGGAAGUGCUUGAAAAACACAUUUGGUGAGAACCUCUUUUGCAGUCAGGGCCAUAUAUUUUUCAUUCCAACCGAGAGCCUAUUGCUGAACCUAUCGUCGAUAGGCUGAAACUUCUCCGCCUUCAUCCGCCCUUCUAGCAUGCGGAGCUACAUGUAUUUCUCCUCGAAAGUACAAUUUUUGGACACCCAGAACAUCCUUCAGUUUUUCCAACCUAGCUUCAGGGGGAUGUGCCCUAUAUUUCGACUGUACGUUUUAUAGUAAAUAACAUUUUGAAAUAUAGAUGGAUGUAUGCAAAAGCUGAAGACAACGAGUGUAUGUGUGUGUGCGUGUCUGUGUGUGGGUUGCCUACACACACAUCAAAUGACAUCCGUUCUGGUCCCUUCCCUUCUCUGAUUUCUUUUAUCAGCCUAAAGUAAAGCUUAUUGGGUUGCCUACCUUUCCCACUCGACGAAAGGGAAUUAACUUCCUUUCCUUGGUGUGGCCCAUGCAAUUUCCUCUAUUUAUACAUAUACUGUUUAACAUUUUUGUUUUGAAGAUUUGUCUUCACACCUUUUCAUUUGUUUACUCUAUGCAGAAGAAGAAUAAUCCCCAUUUUCAAGAAACUGGUAAGAACCCCAACUAUACAACUUAGACUGCUUGUGUUCACACAAAAUUUCCGGCUAUUUUGUAUUUUAACUCUAAAAAUUUACCUCAUAUAGAUACACAGUUUACCCAUUCCAUUGUUUUAUAUUGAAAUACUAAAUUUCAAUCAUUUUGUUUAUUUAAAGUGUUUCCUUAUUCUAGAGCGUUAUAUUACUAGCUUCAACUCACGCAAUAUUUUGUAAAGUAGGUGCAAGUAAAACUGGAAGAGGAAGGAAGGCUGCUGAUACUAGGACAAGGGCUUUAACGCAUGGAAAACCAUUCCACUAUGUGCCAGAGAACCUCCCAGUAGGUUUCAUAUAACCUCCGAAAUAUCCCAGGAGACGAAUAAUAGCAGUUCUUCUAGUACUAGUAGUCUAGUCUAUGAAGCUAGCUACACACUAUAACAUGUAUCUUGUUGCAUGGCAUGACAACAAUAUGAACUUCAUGGAGGAACAUGCCUGUUAUGAUGAUUUUUUAUAUGCUAUUAUGUAAGAUCGAUAGUUACACACCGGAAAUUAUCUCCCUGACUUUAAUAAUUAUAGACCGAUACUUUUCACACAGUAGUAUGUUGCUGUAUCAUUUGCGGAAACCCAAUUUGGCUCCCGGGUGCAAAUCCUCCUACGCACGGAAAUAACUUUUGAAAUGUCAAGAAAAGUUCAAACGAAAUUGUAUGCGUCCUUAGUCACACCCUAAUGCUACCUGUAAAUUUUUAGGCAAAAAGCUUAAGCAUUUGGCCUUUGCAAAAACCAAAAAAAAUUAAACACCAAAUAUAACCCCAAAAUUGUUUUUUCACUCCGUUUUACAUGAAAUUUACCAAGCAUGCUUGCCACACUAGCAGAACAACUAGAAAAAAAAAAUCAGAAUUUUCUGAAAUCAUUUAUUUGGUUUACUGUUCAAACGGGUGUGAGUAUGCUCCCUUUUUAUGCAUGUUCGUGGUGAUAUUAGCUAGUGUUAAUGAGUGUCUGAUGUUGGAGUUGAGCUAAUAGAACAGUUUCGUAUAACCAUGUACUGUUAUAUGGUUAUGUGCCCUUUAAAUAUAAUUGCAUAAAUUCAAAUACUAGUUGAAUUCCAGCUUAUGUAACUAGAUUUAACUUAGAUAUAUAUGUGAAGAAAAUACACUUCACAUGUUGUUGUUCAGCUUAUGCUAUGUUUCAAUGUGAAGGACAAAUUAGAAGAACUACAUAUUUAUGUUAUCAUUUUCUCAUGCUGUUUUCUGUGAAUAUAAUUAUUAUUAUAUUACUGAUGUAAAUAAACCACAUCUCAAAUGUUUAUUUAGAAACUGGAAAGUGGAAAUAAAAUAAUAAGCUUACUCGAUCUAAGAGGACACCAUAAUCUAAAAAAUGGCAUUUCCCCAGUUAACUCCUCACAUAGAAACCUUUGUGGAAACUUAUAUGCGCUAUGGACAAAAAUAAGCUUAUUUUUAUAGCUAAUGAGCUAUGUACCUCAUGAUCUGAUUCAGACCAUCGUAUCGUUUGAAUUUCAGAAUCUCAUUGAAUCAGAAGGACUAACUAAUAUCUGAUUGUUUAUGUGUCCCAUCCAUUUGGGCCUUGCACAUCAUAUAUAAGUUGUGAUACCCACUUGAGUCUUUGGCAAAUUAAUUCUCCAAAAUCCAGUACUUCUGUGAACAUGGACAUAUCUUAUCCAUUAGCAAUACAUCAAAUAGUUUAUUUCUUCAAUAGAUCAAGUUCAUUAUCAAGACCUUUCCAUGCCGAAGAAGCAUCUGAAUAAACACAUAAAAUAUCUUCACCUGAUAGUGCCAUAUUUGCUUUCAUACCAUGCACACAAAAUAAAUAUCCGAGGUUAUAUGAGUUUUGGCUAACCUCUAGGUGUUCGUGCUACUAUAUUUCUAUGUUACGUUCGUGCUAAUAUAUGUAUGUUUCGUGCUUAUUCUUUAUCUUUACUCCUUGAAUAUUUAUGUAUGUAUGAAUGAUGCAAGUAACCCCACAUGGAACAAUAUUUUUGUAGGAGUAACAAAUAUUUUGAUUUACAUUUUUCCAUGAACAAAAACAAGUAACAAAAGUAGUUUUAAAACAUUAAAGAAGUAAAUUUUGUAUGAGCAAACAGAUGUUCAUGCUUAUUAUUUAUCUUUGCUCCUUGAAUUUUUAUGUAUUUAUGAAUCAUGCAAGUAACACCACAUAGAACAACAUUUUUGUAGGAGUAACAAAUAUUUUGAUUUACAUUUUUCCAUGAUAAAGAACAAGUACUAGAAGUAAUUUUUUAAAUGUCAAAAGAAGUAUAUUUUCUAUGAACAAACACAAGCGGGCCUAAGUAAAACAUGAGAUAGUUAUUUGCAUCUUGCCGCAUUUUUAUGUUAAAAGAAGUAAUUUUUGAAAUGAUAAAAGAAGGGGCGUAUAUGUUUGUUAGAGGUUUAUUUACCGAAGCAACGUUAUAUUUAGACAUUUUAGCCGAAGCAUUUUUCGCUAAACAUGGGUGCCUUUGUGCUAUAAAAAAGUGUUGGUGCCCCUAUGCAGGUGGGCUGGUUUCUCUUUGGGGCUGGUUAUUUUCUCAUGGCCCAACAUCUAUUCGGCAGCCCACAGCGCAAUAACAUUUUUUUAUCCUGAACUCUGCACUGCACUACACUGCACUCUAUUUUAACUGAACAAAUAAUCUAUUGACUUUAAGUGAAAAUAUCAUUAGAAGAAUUCAGGCAAGUUAUGCUUCACACAACUUCAGCUAGCAAAUAACCCCUAGAAUAACUAAAACUACUAGCUAGACACACUAAUUGAAACUAGGGACCCCUGAAACUAGCUUGACACAAGGAAAAGAAAUGCAUAGGAAUGACACAACAAUAAAAUGCUCUAGCCAUCAUAUUUGCUUGCUGCUUCAAAUCGAUCAGCUGCUUUAGUUCCUUGCUCAUUUUCUGCAAUUCACACUUCAGUUCAGCAUUGUCCACCAUCGGAUCUGCUUUGUCUACCAAAUGGGGGGCGUGUUCAACAACAAGUGGCCCCCGAAAAUUGAGCUCUUUGGUUGACGCGUCCAAUUUCAACCUCUCAACGUACUCUCGAGCCUCUCAAAAUGCCCACAUUUCUUCAGAACCUGAAAAACCAGGGUCAGCGGAGAAUGAACCCUAGAUCCACUUCUCAAAUUCGACGAAGAAAAGAAAGAAAUCGGGUGAAAUUAGACCAUGCGAUUGACAGAAGACAUAUAUCUGACCUGCCCCGGCUGUGGCCUUCUCUAACAUUUCACGAACUCACGCCCAUGGUUACCAUUUUGUUCCUUCACACAAGUCAAACGCUUCAGAGGUUCCAUGCGCGCGCAAUCGGGGCAUUUUUUCAACAACACCGGGCCGUACUGCGGCCGGGUCCAUGAUUGGCGGGAGGAUGAAGUCGAACUAGACAUCCCUCGCCGGCGGCACGCUUCAUUGUCGGAGAGGAGGAAGAACAAGAAGGGGAAAGGAAAGGGAAGGAAAAGCAAUGGGGUAGCAAUGGGGCUGGCUCGGGCUCGUGGCUGGCUCGGGGCACACUGAUGAGCACGGGUUGCUCAUGUGGAUAGGCUGUGGGUCCUGCACGCAUGUUAGUAAGUGGUGGGUCCCAUGUUGAUGUGGAUAACUGAUGGAUCCCAUGUGUCAUAACUCAAAUCGCUAACCCCUAGUGUCUUGCAUUUCAUGGUUAAACAACCCAUGUCGCAUAGGAGCUAUAGUUGGAUUCAAAAAUGACGCACAAAAGCUAUUUUUGUCAACUACGUCGUACCCUUUCCAAUUCACCUCAAAUACGUCCCUACGAGCUAUUGACCCACCUGAAACACACACUACUAGCAGUGCAACCCGAGUGUCCUUGAUUUUAAUACCCAUACAUAUAAUGCAUUCAUAUCAAUAUAUCAUCAUCACACACACAUGCACAUUCCAUACAUAUGAUUACAAACAAACACAUCGUACAUUCAUCAACAACAAAACGUAACUUUAUUGCUUUUCAGCCUCAUGCCAUAAUUUCCCGGAGAAUCCAGUUGAAGGAAUAUGUUGCAUAAUCCACCUCAACUUUUUUUAAUUGUCACUAAAUAAAGACAUAACAAAUUUAACACAAAUUAUAUGCAAUUAUGACAUAUAUACUAAAACACAAGUUAUACCCAUCCCAGCACCUCAGCAUGUGCGAAGGGUGUCAUGGAAGUUGUUGAAGUAGACUCAAUUGGGCCUCCCGUCGCUGUGGGAGUGGCUGCGCAGUCGUGUGCGUGCUUGGGCUGCCAUGGCUCGACUGCGGGCUGGUUGGAGUUGCCGGCCUAGACGAGCUUGUGUGGCGGCGACCGUCCAUGGCCACCACAUCCUUGACACUAGUAGGAAAAGGGGCUAUAGCCCCGGUUCACGAACCGGGGCUAACAAAGCGGGACUAAUGCUAGCCCCGGUUCGGCCCCGAACCGGGGCUAAUAGUCCUCCACGUGGCGGGGCUGGGGGCGAGGGGGGGGAGGGGUAUUAGUCCCGGUUCUAAUUACCAACCGAGACUAAAGGCUCGGUCUGUUUAUUUUGUUUGACCCGAAAAGGUAUUAUUUUUUUUAUUUCUUUCAAAUUUAAUUUUUGAAUUAAUUUUUGAUUUUUUUAAUGUUUUAUUCCAAUUUUCAAAUCUUUGAAUUAUUUGACAAUUUAAUCUCUAAUCACUCAUCCUCACUGCUCUAGCGUGGAUCACUCAUUCCAAAUCGUCUAACUUCCCAGCCGGUCACUCAUCCUGUCACUGCUUCAGCCCGAGCACGCUUAACUUUCGGGUUCUAUUGCCCCUGGUUUCCAAGUGUGCACUUGUUGUUUCCCUAACAAUAGUAAGUUAUCAAUCCUAUUAACUCUUAGUUCUUGAUGUCACAUGAUUUAAUUUUUUGAAAUCCAAAUAAUUAUUAAAAUAAAGAAAAUAAGUAAUAUUAUUAUUGAAUUUCAAUGAAAAUAAAAUAAGUAAUAGUAUUAUUUUAUUCGUUUUUUUGCCAUUUAUUCAUUUAAUAUGGCAUAGUCAAUAUAUUUAAAUAUGUAAAUCGAAAUGUGACAAAUAAUAUUGGGAUGUUACCGCAAAAACAGGAUACACUUCGUGUACAAACUGGAUCAUCUCCCUUUAAGUAUCAAGGUUUCGGACGAAAACUCGUCUGUUACAAAGGCAUUUUUUUUGAAAACUAUUUCAACUCCAGACUUUUUGUGCAUUCAAUAUGCACCAUACUACAACAAGUUAAAAUAUACAGAAAGAACUAACUAAAAAUAAAAAUAAAAACAAUUAAAGGACUAAAACAAUUAUAUAAGCAAAACGGUAUUGUUUUAAUUAAAAUCCUAAUUGAAAUUAUUCUGAAAAUAACCAAAUAAAUCUUAAUGUGACAACAAUCUAACACAUGACUAGGAGUAAAAAGAAUUAAAUUAAAAACUAUUUGUAAACUCAAGUUAUUCACAAUCUGGGUUUGAACCAAAUUUGAACAAAUUCGGAUUUAAACCUUUCAAAUUUGAAAACUAAUGGCACAAACAAAAACUAGACGAAUAUUUGAAUCCAAUGCAAAAAGGAAUCACUCAAAAACAUAAAAUAUCCUAAUAGAUAUAAGCAAUUUAAAACAGAAACUACAAACAGAAAAAAUAAUUAAAAAUGAAAAAAACAAAAAUUCAGAACCCCACGAACCGGGAUUAAAGGGUUUGGAGGCUUUAGUCCCGGUUCGUGUCCCGGUUCGAGAGACGAACCGGGACUAAAGCCUCCAAACCCUUUAGUCCUGGUUCGAGACACGAAACGGGACUAAAGGUCCCAUUUGAACCGGGACUGAUGCCCGACCGGCGCCCUUGCCGCUCGAAUCGGGACUAAUGUGUAAAUCGAGCUGGGCGAAAGCCCUGUUUUCUACUAGUGUGAGAUGCACCUGAGAAAAAGCGGCGGAUUCGAUGCAGGAUUUGACACCAGAGUUGGUCUGUGGUGGCGGCGGCGCAAGGGGAUUGCGGUGGACGGAUAGUGUUGCGACCGGUAAAAGGGAGACGAAGGUGUAUAUAUAGCGCUGACUUGGUCAGUUUGCGGUCCGCUUAUAAAAAGUUUAUGCGUCGAGCUAAUUCUAGUGACAUGUUAGGGCCGCAAAAAUGCUACAUCUGAUAAAACGGCCAAAAUUUUACAGACUGUUGAGGUUUUGCGUGAUCUGUUAGAGAUGCUCUAAGGAGACAUUAGUUGCGCCCUAUAAUAGUUUGGUUCUCAUUUAUUUUAUAUUUUGGAGAUCGGAUAUCAUUUAUUAGUGCAAAUCUAUAGUCAAUAAUGUGCAUGGAUGGGGGCGGUUGUAAGAUCUUCAACCGAUAUACAUAUAUCUCCUAGCUAUUUCCUUGCUGUAUAGUAUUUAUUAUAUAUACAUCCAAUCAAGUACAUGCAUGAAGAGCAAGUACUCUCAUUUUGGUUUGUAACACGUUUAAUGUUUAUCCCAUUUUGGGCGAGGAAACACGGUUCAUAUUGUCUGGUCAAUAAGAUCAUGUUCGUAUCAUGUUCAUUAAUUGCCAUUAUGUAUUGCUAAUAACUCCCUCAACCUUUGGCUAUAUAUGUUCGUAUAUAGAGCAAACGAGACUCAUAUAGCCACAAGCCCAAACUACAAGAAAGCAGAAUGGUCUCCGUAGAGUCAAGAACCCAAUCUGAGGGAAGCACCGGGUCGAAGACAUCCUCGAUGGAAGCCCCUCCAGCGGUGAUUCAUUUUGAGAUGGGAGGUAUGAACGAAUCACCAACCAAUUGGUCCAAGAACACAAAGGACGACGCAACGAGCAAGGACUUGUCCAAUAACAUCAAGGGAAAGCCAAAAAAGAUGGAUUGGAAGGAGGUUGAUGUUCCGAGCUGGCUGCAGGAACUAAAAUCAUACAACGAUGGUGACUGGAAGGUCCUCGUCAAUAGGCAAAACGGCAGGAAUGACUGGGUAAGUUUCUUGAAUCCAAAUCUGGGCAAGAAUGGCCAACUGAUUUAUCUGUCCAUUAUAUUUGAUCGAUCCUAGACGUGCAUAACUAGAGGGUGUACGUAUACCUCCCCUGCAAGGUACGAGCUAGUGUGGUAAUAGAAUUCACAUAGGUAGGCAGGUGAAAAUCGAGAUCCGUUUUUUUGUGUGCGAUGGUGCGUGCAGAAAUUGAGAUCCUGUCCGUCUCGUCGUGUCACGACCGCUGUCAUAAAUGAACGGUAAUCAUCUGUUGAUCCAUUCCACGCUUGAAUCGAGAAGAUAAAUCCAUCUACUGGACAUGGUGUUUCUCUGGUAAAAGUACCGAUUUCCAUGCUGAAAGAAAUUGUGUGGAUAUGUUCAUAGUAUGUGUAUAUGAAAUUAAUUAGAAGGUGCUCUGGUUUAGUGAGGUUGUAAUUUAUCCUUGCAGUCAUAGUUCACAUACACACUUGCCUCAGUUCCUCCUGCUUACCCACAUAAAAUAUUUGUACUGCUGACCUUGAUUGUAUUUAUCUGAUUUUUUUUUUGCGAUGGAUUGCAUUUAUCUCAUUUACUCAGACAUAGUAUCCCCUGCGAUAUAAACCUAGAUAUUCCAUUUCAGCCACAAACCGAUCUCAACCGAUCAAAUUGAAGUACAUAUUGUAGUUUCUAAUUCGUACCUAAUUACGUUAUUACCUUAACUUCAUCUUGACAAAUAACUUCGUUUAUUUUAUCAAACCAAUCAACACAUUUUGAUGGCAUUGAAAAAUAUAAUAGCAGUAAUGGUAUAUUUUCAUCGUAUGCAUAUCUUUCUCCUUAUAUUUUAUUUUUGUAUCACGGCCCCUUUUUAGUUAGUUAUAUAAGUUUAUAUAUUACAUCCAUAUGUCCAAUGAAUACUUUGUGUUGAAACUCUUAAAAUUAAUACUGAAUAAUUUGUAGAUAUUUAUGCAAAUACUUACUAUUACAUUAUGAAUGAUUUACAUGUCACUAUACUUUGGAUUUGUUGUUAUGUAGUUUUUACCUUCAAUUUUCCUAGACCACUUAUCUUCCUAGAUUGUUUUGUUGCCAACAUGGCCAUAUUUAUGUGUCUCACAGUUGAUGUUCGGUCCUAGAAAUAUUCUGUUUCUUAGCUAUUUUAUUAUUUUUCAUUCAGAUACACGCUCGCACACAUGGAUGAUGUUCUUAGCUUGAUCCUGCUAUUCUAGUUGCACAUGCAUGGUUGAUGCAUGACUUCUACCUUAAUUUCCCAAAUUAUAUUUUUUUUCUUGCAGAAGUACAUCCAUCAAAGAUAUAAAAAAACAUUUCGCUCUGCACCUGGUGUCCGUUUCUUCCUGGAUGGCAAAGAGAUGAACCAGGUGUUUAAAGAAGAAAAACUACGAAAGAGGGUAAUCAUGCAUUAUAUUUUCUUCCAAAUUUUACAGUAGAGAUGUAACACUAUCUACAAUUACUUCCCUUAGUACUUGCACAUUCAAUUUGUCCAGUAGGGUACACAUUCAUGUGCCCUAUAUAUUGACUGUACGUUUUACUUCAAAACAGCAUUUUAGAAUAUAGAUGGAUGUAUGCAAAACCUCAAGACAACAAGUGUGUAUAUAACUAUAUGUACAGCUUUCAAAUUAAAUGACAGCGGCCGUCGUCUCUUUCCUUCUUCCAUGCAUCCUAUUCCGUAAUCGUUUUUUGGGAGUCUAAAUUAAAGCUUAUGUGGUUUGCCUACCAUACCUACUCCAUGAAAUCAAAUGAACUUCUUUUCUUUGGCGCCCAUGCUAAUUUUCUUUAUUUGUAAAUGUACUGUUUAAUAUUUUAGUUUUCAAGAUUUGUCUUCUGACAUUUUCAUCUGUUUAUGUUAUGCAGAAGGAGAAUGAUACCAAUAGUGAGGCAAGUGGUAUGGACCCCAACUAUGUACUUCACAAAAAACAAAUCCAACAGUUUUGUAUUGUAACUCUAGAAAAUUAUCUCAUAUAGAUACACAACUUACCCAUUCCAUUGUUUUAUAUUGGGAUACUAAAUUUCCAUUUUUUUAAUCGAAGUGUUUCUUUAUUCUAGAGAAUUACUAGCUUCAACUAACCCAAUAUUUGCAAAGCAGGUCCAAGUAAACCUAAAGGAGGAAGGAAGGCUGCUGAUACUAGGACAAGGGCUUUGACGAUUGGAAACCCAGUCCAGUAUGUUCCGGAGAAGCUUCCAGUAGGUUUCAUAUAACUUCUGAAAUAUGCCAGGAGAUGAAUAAUAGCAGCUUGUGUAGUAGUCUAGUUUAUGAAGCUAGCUACAAAUUACAAUAUGUAUCUUGCUGCAUGACAUGAGAACCAUAUGAAACUCAUGGAGGAACAUAUCUAUUUUGUUGUGAUUUCUUAUAUGCUAUUAUGUAAGCUCAACAAGUAUAGACUGAAGAUUAUGUGCCUGGAUUUCAUAAAAGGACCGGUAUUGUUUACAAAGAUUUAUGUUGUGGUAAUGUUUGUUGUGUUUGUUCGAUCAAGAAUAUAUAUUUUUUGGAUCUUCCUUUAUUUAUUCCAUAAAUUACUUACUUCAGCAUGCAUGCCUCUUGGUUGAGCUGGGGGUGUGAGUAUUCUCCCUUUUUAUGCAAGUUCGGGUGAUGCUAGUGUUAAUGAGAGUCUGAUGUUGGAGCUAAUAGAAUUUUUUUUCAUAUAGACAUAUAAUAUUAUAUGCUUAGGUUUCCUUUAAAUCUAAUUGCAUUGCUUUAUAUAUAAGUUGAACCGAGCUUUUGUACCUUGCUAGAUUUAGCUUAGAUAUACAUUUCAAGAAAAUACACUUCACAUGCAGUAGUUAAGUUUAUGGUAUGUUUUCUCCCCACAAAAAAGAGCUAUGCUAUAUAUGUUUGCAUGUGAAGGACAAACUAGAAGAGCUGCAUAUUAAUUUUAUAAUUCUCUCAUGCUCUUUUUUGUGAUUAUAAUUAUAUUAUCAUUGAUGCAAAGAAAUCCCAUCUUAAAUGUUCUCCAAAAAUUGGAAAGUAGAAACAGAAGAAUAAGUUACUUGAUCUAAGAAGAAACCAUAACCUGCCACUGAAAAUCGUUAUUUCCCCCUAUCGCAGAAAAAAUCGUUAUUUCCCCAGUUAUCUCCUCACAUAUAAAACUUUGUGGAACAAGCUGGCCGAAGUUUUUGCUGCGGAAGUUUUUGCUAUGUCACACGCUGUUGCACUUCCUGCACAAAGGGGCGUGGUUCGUUUCAUAUUUGGGACUGAUUCUCAGCUCUUAAUGGAGACUGUGGAUGUGGACAAGGUGGACUCGUCGGUGUACGCAACAGUCAUAGAGGAUCUAAGUACAAACUUAAGAUGCGGUUCUUCCAAUAUGUAACUUCAGUGUGUAGGCGUAGUGCCAAUUCAUCGCUCACGAGCUAGAUACCAUCGGUCGUGCUUGCAAACCAAAUAUUGUUGUAGAAUAGGAGUAUGAUUUACUAGUCAAGUGUCUUCUUGUGUUUUGCGUGAUUUUUCUCGAACGCCGUUCAGUUAUAAAGUGUCUUCUUUAGACUCAAAUCAAACAAAAAACUUUGUGGAAGCUUUAUGUGCGCUAUAUACAUAAAACAAGUCUGGUUUUAUAGCUACCGUGCUAUGUACCUAGUGUCUCUUUCACACUAUCAUGCCGCUUUAAUUUCAGAAUCUCAUCAUAUCAGAAGGAAUAAAUCACUAGUAGAAAAAGGGGCUUCCGUCCCAGCUCAAUUUACACAUUAGUCCCGGUUCCAUUACGAAGCGGGACUAAUGUUAGCAUUAGUCCCGGUUUGAACGGCAAGGGCGCCGGUCGGUCAUUAGUCCCGGUUCAAAAGGGACCUUUAGUCCCAGUUCAUGUCUCGAACCGGGACUAAAGGGUUUGGAGGCUUUAGUCCUGGUUCGUGCCUUGAACCGGGACUAAAGGGUAGACCUUUAGUCCCGGUUCGAGACACGAACCGGGACUAAAGGGGUUUUGUAUUUUUAUUUUUUCCAGUUUUUAAAUUUUAUUUCUGUUUGUAGUUUCUGUUUUAAAUUGCUUAUAUCUUUUAGGAUAUUUAAAUUUUUUUGAGUGAUUCUUUUUGCAUUAGAUUCAAACUUUUUUCUAGUUUCUGUUUGUGCAAUUAGUUUUUAAAUUUGAAUGGCUUAAAUUUGAAUUUGUUCAAAUUUGCUUCAAACCCAAAUUAUGAAUAACUUGAGUUUACAAAUAGUUUUUAAUUUAAUUCUUUUUUCUCCUAGUCAUCUGUUAGAUUGUUAUCACAGUAAGAUUUAUUUGGUUAUUUUUAGAAUAAUUUAAAUUUGGAUUUUAAUUAAAACAAUAUUGUUUUGCUUAUAUAGUUGUUUUAGUCAUUUAAUUGUUGUUUUUUAUUAUUUUUAGUUAGUACUUUCUGUAGAUUUUAACAUGUUAUAGUAUGGUGCAUAUUGAAUGCAUAAAAAGUCUGGAAUUAAAAUCAUUUUAAUAAAAUUCCUUUGUAGCAGAUGUGUUUUCGUCUCAAACCUUGAUACUUCGAAGGAUGAUCUAGUUUAUACACGAAGUGCAUUCAGUUUUUAUCGUAACUCUCUCAACUUUUUAGCACAUGCCAUGCGGGUGAAACUAUGAUACCAUACCAACUUUCAACCUUUUAAGAGUUCAUUUGUAGUGCUUUUCAAUUUCAGGGUCAAUUAGCUCAAAAAAGUAAGUAAAUGCAUGAAAAAUACCAAAUGAAGUCAGAAAAUAUUGAAAAUUUAUGAUGUGGCUUUAAAUGGUGUAUUUUAAACACACAAAAGGUAUGGAGUUCAAAUCCCUUUGCAAUAGAUGAGUUUUCGUUCGAAACCCUGAUACUUCGAAAGAGAUUGUUCAUUUUGUACACAAAGUGCAUCCAGUUUUUGACGUAACCCUCUCAACUUUUUUAGCACAUGCUAUGUGGGAGAAAUGAUGAUACGAUGCCAAGUUUCAACCUUUUCAGAGUUCAUUUGUCGGGCUUUUCAAUUUCAAGGUCAUUUAGGUCAAAAAAUCAUUAAAUGCAUGAAAAAUAGCAAAUUAAGUUAUGAAGGGUCGAAAUUUAUGAUGUGGUUUUGAAUGGUUUAUAUUGAAUGCACAAAAUGCAUAAAAUGUUUGAAGUUGAAAUAAGUAAAAAAUAAAAUAUCUUUCUAGCAGAUGAGUUUUCGUCCGAAACCGUGAUACUUCGAAGGAGAUGGUCCAGUUUGUACACGAAGUGCAUCCAGUUUUUGUCGUAACCCUCUCAACUUUUUAGCACAAGCUAUGUGGAUGAAAUGAUGAUACCAUGCCAAGUUUCAACAUUUUCAGAAUUCAUUAUAGUUCUUUUCAAUUUCAGGGUCAUUUAGCUCAACAUAGCAAAUAAAGUUAGAAAGGGUUAACUCUAGCUUGGUUAACCUUAGUUGUGAUUCUAGCGGGGACGGUGCUAGCAAAUGUAGUCGACGGGUAUGAUUGGACUCUUGGCUAAAGGGGGAUUCUGAAAUUUUCAAACUCUACCCUCCCUGGACCGUCUUUUUUAGUUUUGUAGAAAAUAAACAAAAAUGCUAAAAUCUUCAAAAAAUAAAAUCCUUUGAGAUGUCACUAGUGGGGACAAGGGCUUUAGUCCCGGCCCGUAAGGGGCUUUAGUCCCGGUUCACCAACCCGGACUAAAGGCCUAACCUUUAGUCCCGGCCCUGUUCCAAGCCGGGACCAAAGGUGCUCCACGUGGCCGCCUCCGAGGGAGUACCUUUAGUCCUGGUUUUACUUACGAACCGGGACUAAAGGAUCCGUCUAUUUUUUUGUUUGUUUGACCCGAAAAGGUAGAUUUUUUUUAUUUUUUUUUAAUUUUUUAUGUUUUAUUCCAAUUUUCUAAUCUUUGAAUUAUUUGACAAUUUAAUCUCUAAUCACCCAUCCUCACUGCUCUAGCGUGGAUCACUCAUUUCAAAUCGUCUAACUUCCCGACCGAUCACCCAUCCUUUCACUACUUCAGCCCGAGCAUGCUUAACUUUCUGGUUCUAUCGCCCCUAGUUGCCAAGUGUGCACUUGUUGUUUUCCUGACAAUAGUAAGCUAUCAAUCCUAAACAACUUGGGUCUUGAUGUCAUGUCACAUGAUUUAAUUUUUUGAAUUACAAACAAUUAUUAAAAUAAACUUAAUAAGUAACAAUAAUAGUGAAUUUCAAUAAAAACAACCUAAUAUUUUGAAAUAAAAUUGUUUUUCUUUUUUUUGGAAAAAACUUCUUUUUGAAAUAACUUUUUUUCCAUUUGGAUUUUUUGAGCAUGUGAGAAAACUUCACCGGGCAAGCCCGGGUGAAAUCGAGUACCAAUUUUUUCUAGUUUUUUUUUAAUAUAUUAAUUUUUUUUGGACGUCGUAUGCAAAAGUUAUGGCCAUUUAUUUUUUUCCUUUUUUUGCAAAAAUGGUCAAAAUUCAUAUCUCAAAAUUUCUAUACCGACUAGACACUAAAACCUAACAACAUCUCAAAGGAUUUUAUUUUUUGAAGAUUUUAUCAUUUUUGUUUAUUUUUUGAAGAUUUUAUUAUUUUUGUUUAUUUUCUACAAAACUCAAAGUAUCAAGGUUUCAGACGAAAACCCAUCUUCUACAAAGUCAUUUUUUUUAAAAUUAAUUGAACUGUAGAUUUUUUUGUGCAUUAAAUAUGCACCAUACUACAACAUGUUAAAAUCUACAGAAAGAACUAACUAAAAAUAAUAAAAAACAACAAUUAAAUGACUAAAACAACUAUAUAAGAAAAACAAUAUUUCUUUAAUUAAAAUCCUAAUUUAAAUUAUUCUAAAAAUAACCAAAUAGAUCUUACUGUGAAAAUAAUCUAACACAUGAGUGGGAGCAAAAAGAAUUAAAUUAAAAACUAUUUGUAAACUCAAGUUAUUCAAAAACUGGGUUUGAAGCAAAUUUAAACCAUUCAAAUUUGAAAACUAAUGGCACAAACAGAAACUAGACAAAAUUUUGAAUCUAAUGCAAAAAAAAAUCAAUCGGAAACAUCAAAUAUCCUAAAAGAUAUAAGCAAUUUAAAACAGAAACUACAAACAAGAAUUUAAAAACAGAAAAAAAAAUCUGAACACCUUUAGUCCCGGUUCGUGUCACGAACCGGGACUAAAGGUCUACCCUUUAGUCCCGGUUCAAGACACCAACCGGGACUAAAUCCUCUAAACCCUUUAGUCCCGGUUCGAGACACGAACUGGGACUAAAGGUCCAAGACACGAACCGGGACUAAAUCCUCCAAACCCUUUAGUCCCGGUUCGAGACACAAACCGGGACUAAAGGCUCCUUACGGGGCGGGACCAAAGCCUCGUGCGAUUUGGGGCGACGUGGCCGGGCCUUUAGUCCCGGCCCAGAGGCAGGCCGGGACUAAAAGGGUCCAGGCCAAAGGACCUUUUUCUACUAGUGUGUAGUUAGGUUUUAGUGCCUAGUUGGUAUACAAAUUUUGAGAUAUGAAUUUUGACCGUUUUUUUAAAAAAAGGGAAAAAUGUAAAACGGCUAUAACUUUUGCAUACGACGUCAAAAAAAAAAGUUUAAUAUAUCAAAAAAACUAGAGAAAAUUGGGAAUCGAUUUCACCGGGGCUUGCCCGGUGAAGUUUUUUCAGAUACUCAAAAUUCCAAAUGUAAAAAAAGUUAUGGCAAAAAGAAGUUUUUUCCACAAAAAUAAGAAAAAAUAAUUUUAUUUAAAAUCUUUAGGUUGUUUUCAUUGAAAUUCACUAUUAUUAUUACUUAUUUUGUUUAUUUUAAUAAUUGUUUGAAUUCAAAAAACUAAAUCAUGUGACAUGACAUCAAACCUAGGUUGUUUAGGAUUGAUAGCUUACUAUUGUCAGGAGAACAACAAGUGCAGACUUGGCAACUAGGUGCGAUAGAACCAGGAAGUUAAGCGUGCUCGGGCUGAAGCAGUGAAAGGAUGGGUGACCGGCCGAGAAGUUAGACGAUUUGAAAUGAGUAAUCUACGCUAGAGCAGUGAGGAUGGGUGAUUAGAGAUUAAAUUGUUAAAUAAUUCAAAGAUUUAAAAAUUGAAAUAAAACAUAAAAACAAAUCAAAGAAUAUUCAAAAAUAAAAUUUGAAAAAUAAAUAAAAAGGUACCUUUUUGGGUCAACCAAACAAAAUAAACAGACGGAUCCUUUAGUCCGAGGCGCCCAUGUAAAGCACCUUUGGUCCCGGCUUGAAACAGGGCCGGGACUAAAGGUUAGGGCUUUAGUCCCGCCUCUUUGGUCCCGGUUGGUGAACCGAGACUGAAGCCCCUUACAGGCUGGGAUUAUAGGCCCUGUCCCACUAGUGAAUUUAUAUCUAAUGGUUUAUUUAUCUCAUCCAUUCGAGCCUUGCACAACAUCCUCUGUGAUAAAUGAAGGGUAAUCAACUGUUGAUCCAUUCUCCGGUUGAAUCCUGAAGGUAAAGUCAUCUACUCGACGUGGUGUUUCUCUGGUAAAAGAUCCGAUUUCCAUGCUAAAAGAAAUUGUGUGGAUAUGCUAAUACUGUAUGUAGAUAAACUAAGAGCAUCUCCAACUGCGGUGUCAAAAAACAGGUGCUUGGUAAACAACGUUUUUAGCGCGCGCGGGACAGAAACGCGCGCUCCAGCGGAGGUGGAAAAUUAACGCGGCUGCAAACGAUUGCGCGCGCGGGAAAAGCGGAUGGCCACGCGCUAGAUUUGGCGCACCGUUUUCGGCGCGCUUAUAAAAUGCGGCGCUCGCCACGCGGCUGCCCAUUGCCCUCGAUACUGCCACGCGCGCUCUGCCGCUUCUUCGUCGCUGCCUUUGCCACCCCGCCACCGACGCGCCCUCACCGGGCCACCAUGCCGCGGUGCCGCCGUGAAUCCUCGGGCUACCGCAGCGUCGCGAGCGCCCCUCCGACGCCAAYUAUGCCGAGAUCCGGUCCGGCGAGGUCCGCCUGGGCCUCGGCACGUUUGAGAUCUCGCACGAGGACGUCCGCGCGUACGACAGGACGGUGUGGUACCUAGGGAGGCCUCGCGCGCAGAUGAAUUUCCAGGACGUCUACACGCAUGAGCAGGCGCAGGACCUCGCCCCUCCGCCUUGUCUGAUAACAGACCAGGACUGUGAGGACCACCGUCGAAGGAGCGCUGCCUCCUCGUCGUCGAGGAGGACGAGCGAGCCAUGGCGGAGUGGCGCCGGCGCCACCCGGGGGACGUCGCCGCUGAGAACGCCUUCUGGGCGGAGAGGACGGCAAGGCACCGCGAGGAGCGGGAUGACAGGCGUCGGCGCAAGGCACUGGCCAUAUCGCAGUGCGAUGUCGUCAACAACGGUGGGACGUCGUUCUUCGGGAGUGAUGAUGAACGGGAUGAUAUUUGGCUCGAUACCUCAGACACCGAGGAUGAUGAUGAUGAGGAGGAGGAGGACGACAGGGAGUAGGUUCUAGUAGUUGCACUGUAGUUUUUAUCUAGUUGCACCGUAGUUUUUUAUCUAUAUAUGCGAUGUAUCAUUUUAUCUAUGUAUUGUGAAAUGUCUAUGUAUCGUUAUUUAUCUAUCUAUCUAUGAAAUAACUAUAUAUAUCUAUGCAUUUUAGCGCGCAUGCUGAAAUUAGACGCGCGCUGUAUUUUACAUCGGCUGCUGGCCGCCGUGCCAAAACAGACGAACGGUGCGCCGUAAAUUUAAUUUUAACACGCCGCGCGUUGGGCGGCUGUUGGAGAUGCUCUAAUGAGACUCUGCUCUUGUCUUGUGAGGUUUAAUUUCUCCUUGCCGUUAUAGUUCACAUACACUUCCCUCGGUUCCUCCAGCUUAUCCACAGAGAAUAUUAAUCUGUACACCUGACCUCGUAUUUAUCUGAUUUGUCCUAUAGGGAAAAUAUCCUUGUGCAUUUGUUAAGAAAAAUAAUAUCCUCAUGUUAUAUGAACCUAGAUGCUCCAUUUUAGCCACAAACUGAUCUCAGCCAAUAAAAUUGAAGUACAUACUGUAAUUUCUUAUUGAUUGUUUUUACAGUACCUGUACUGCUGUUAGGGGAGGAGCAGUAUAUCAAAAUCCAACUACUCAUGUCCGGAAGGUAGGAUUGGCAUAGAUUUUUUGUCAUGGGAACCUUAGUGACGGUCGUCGGUUGAUGACCGGAAAUCAAGACGCCGAGCCCUGAUGUGAUGGGUCAAUAGCUCAUGUGUAACGUUUUUUCUGUGCGAAUUGGCUGCAAAGCGACAUCGUUCAUAAAAAUAGCUCUACUGCGACACCUCUGUGCGUACAAAUAGCCAAGACACAAUAUGGCCCUUAAGCAUAAUCUCUCUCAGGAUUAGGUGGAGCCGGGCGAGACACACAACUUAUCGACGUCGGUGUGGGACCCAAAUGGCGGCGACUACGGUUAAACAGUUUUCUCCUGCGCGCAUCCUCCCUCUUCUUCUUCUCCGACGACGAAGCACGACACCGUCCGCGAGCUCCGAUUCAGAAAGAGAAAUUUUACGGUACAUUAUAAUACUCCUCGUGGUGUGUAGUAAUAAUCCAAUCCAACGGUUGAUAUAAAGGGCAUUUUAGUCAAUCUCGUUUAGUUGCAAUUUCUUUUUUUCAAUCGAUCGAACUAGUCACGGCGUCUUCUUCCUCGCGGUCACAACGGACAGUGCACGGCAGCAAUCAUGUCCCACCUUUCCCUCACGGCAUCAUCAUGCUGCUCGGCGACUUCCCCAUCAUCCCUACCAUCGUCAAUCGUUCGCCCCACCGUCUCUCAUCCCGGAACAGCCGUGUACGCAUUGGUUCCCAGGCCCCUUCACCGCUGGCUGCGCUGCUCCUCGCCACGGCCAUGAGCUAUAGCUUAGGUAACUAGCACAUACCAGCAGCGAGCCCAAUCACCCACAUGAGUUAGCUCUGCUCUAUUUCUGGGACACGUAGGGAACUAAUCCGGCAGUCAUUUUUUCUGCAUGGUAGCCGGCGACGCAUGUUGUAGCAGCAGCUAGCUGGGUGGGUCGGUGACACAUGCACUAGAGAGCUCAGUUCUGUGCAGGUUCGACCGCAUCGUUUUUGUUGUGUUGUCUCGGUCUGAGGCAUGGCGCGCCAGUCGGAAGCCAUCGACGGAGGCUGGUUUGCCUUACUGGCAUUCCUCUUGUCGGCCAGCUCUGCUCUUCUAUUCAGUACGAUUCUCUUCUCCUCGAAUCUCUGCCCGUCGCCGGGAUGCUCGACAACGUCCUAUGGUACUACAUCCCCGUUUAUGAACUUCUGCAGUUAGCUCUUGCUUUGUGGCUCUUCCUAUUUUGCCCUUUUUCUCUCGAAAAUGCCUUUCGGGGUCUAUAUAAUACACGUGACAUUAGCGUAUUGCAUCAGAUCUGGAUCGUCGAAUUGACUCCGACGGACGGUCCAUAUCGACCGAAUGCACUGUAAAAUGCCUCAGAAAAGCAAAUUUACAAACAUUCAACCGAAGUCGACCGAAUUCAAACAACAUAGAUACACUUUAGGAAACAUAGUGGUUCGAUUACACACGGAGUAGUAGUGGUUCGAUUACACCUAGUUCUAAUGGCGGGCUCGUCGGUCCAAAAGCCACACGAAGUACUUCGAUUACAUAAAGCUCCUGGGUACCCCUAGAUAGAUCUCCAAAAUUGGGCUCACUUCAGCCCCAGGGUGCGGCCCCGACGAGGCGGCGGCGCUGGCUAGUCGGAGGCGCCCCACCCCCUGUCGGCACGGGAUUUCUCGAUGGCUUAGCGGAGGCGGAACUCGUCGAGCUCCUCUUCCAUCUGCCGGCGCACGACGAGCUACUAGGGCUCGUCCUUGGUGCGCUCCAUAAUCUCGGCGAUGACGCCAUCGUCGACGUAGUCUCCCGACAGAAAGCCGAGGCGCCCGGGGCGCGGUGUCAACCCCUGCUCCUCCCCUUCCCACUUCGGAGUCCGCAGCGGUGCGGGUGCAAUGGCGGAUCUCCCCGCGCCACCGUGGCAGAGGAGCUACCUCGCGCCGCCGCCGCCUCUGACGGUCGUACUGGUCCACCUCGCCUGAGCGAACGCACACGGCGGCGCGAGCCCCCGGCUCGUGUACUUGCACGCGCCGCACUUCCAAGCAACGCCGAAAGCAACCCGCGCCACCCAUUCGGGGUUAGUGUCGGGCGCCGGCCGCUUCGCCACAUUCCCCUUGUCGGAGCGGUUUCCGCCGCCGGAAUGGCCGCCGCGCGAGCUGGAAGAUCCGAGCCUCAUGAUUAUCACACGGGGGUGCUUGAUCUGGCGGCGGGGGGGGGGGCAGGAUUGUGUGGUUUUGUUGGUCACCGGUGGCGAGAGUGGCGCGGAUCUGGAUGUGUAAAUAGCUAGGGUACGACACAUUUCACCGUAUAAGUAGCUAGGGUGCGACACUGAGGUGACUUCCCUGGCCCACGGGUCAGAUUGACCGGUCAGCCCCCCACGUCAGCACGAAUAAACUAGGUUUGACCAAGUUCGAAAUGAGCAUAAAAAAUUAAAAAAAUUAAAAAAUUGGAAAACCAAUGCAUAUUUUCUUACUUUGUCAUAUACUAACAACACAAAUUUAUUUGGCUGUUUUAGACAUGAUGGACAAAAAAACUUGCUUAGAAAUGGGGUAUUUACCCCCUUUGGAACUAAUUUGAAACUCAUGUGUGAAGACAAGUGGUUUUUGGGGUGUUGAACUUCAAACUUUAAAAAACCUCACAAAAACUUCAUUUUGAAGUGACUAAGAAGGAUCCAGGCUUGGUUUAUUAUUUCCAUGUUUGAAACUUGUUUAAAUAUUGGUCAAACUUAGGUUUGACCAAGUUUGCAAUGAGCAUUAAUUUUUUUAAAAUAUAAAAAUAUAAAAUCAGUGCGCAUGUUCUUACUUUGUCAUAUACUAACAACUCAAAUUGAUUUGGCUGUUUUAGACAUGGUGCACAAAAAAACUUGCUUACAAAUGGGGUAUUUACCCCCUUUGGAGCUAAUUUGAAACUCGUGUGUGAAGACAAGUGGUUUUGGGUGUUGAACUUCAAACUUUCAAAAACCUCACAUAAGCUUCGUUUUAGAGUGACUAAGAAGGAUCCAGGCUUGAUUUAUUAUUUUCAUGUUUGAAACUUGUUUAAAUGUUGGUCAAACUUAGGUUUGACCAAGUUUGAAAUGAGCAUAAAAAAUAAAAAACAUAAAAAUUUUGGAAAACAAGUGCACAAGUUCUUACUUUGUCAUAUACUAACAAAUCAAAUUAAUUUGGCUGAUUUAGACAUGGUGGACAAAAAACUUGCUUAGAAAUGGGGUGUUUACCCCCUUUAGAGCUAAUUUGAAACUCAUGUGUGAAGACAAGUGGUUUUCGGUGUUGAACUUCAAACUUUCAAAAACCUCACAAAAGCUUUAUUUUGGAGUGACUAAGAAGGAUCCAAGCUUGGUUUGUCAUUUUUAUGUUUGAAAGUUGUUUAAAUGUUGGUCAAACUUAGGUUUGACCAAGUUUGAAAUGAGCAUAAAAAAUAAAAAAUAAAUUGAAAUAUUGGAAAACCAGUACACAUAUUCUUACUUUGUCAUAUACUAACAACUCAAAUUGAUUGGCACCAGUUUUUAUUUUUUUAUUUUCUUUGAAUUACUUAUGCUCACUUCUAAACUUUGAAAACCCUACAACCUCGUUCGUGAUAGCCAAGUUUGUGAAUGUUUUUUCAUGAAAAACUCCAUAGUCCAGGUUUCUUAUUUUUCCGAUCGAGUUAGUCACAUAGAACGAUGAUUGGCACAAGUUUUCUAUUUUUUAUUUUUUUGAAUUACUUAUGCUCAACCCCAAGCUUUGAAAACCUUACAACCUCGUUCGUGAUAGCCAACUUUGUGAAGGUUUUUUCAUGAAAAACUCCAUAGUCCUGAUUUCUAAUUUUUUCAAUCGACUUAGUCACAUAGAACGAUGAUUGACACCAAUUUUCUAUAUAUAUUUUUUUGAAUUAGUUAUGCUCAACCCUAACCCUUGAAAACCUCUCAAAACCCCUCAAAACCCCGCACCUGUCCGGACCAUUGGAUCGCCGUGAAUGUACGGUCUGGAUAAGGAAGUAGGGCGCCAGCGAUCCGUGGGCUGCGCUUUCAUUGGUCGGGCCAGCUCCACCGAAACGUUACGCUCCUCCCCAUCGAUUAACUGAAGAAUUGUUGCACUCUGUUAACUGAAGAAUUGCCGCACUCUUCGGCUACACCAACACCAGACUGUCGACAAGCUUAAGCGCUACCAGAGAGUGCAUCAUUGUCAUGCCCAAGGUCGCGGACGAGGGGAAGGACGCCGUUGGGGGAUGCCAUCGGGGAGUCCGUAGACAUGCCAAAGAAGAGGGGGAGGGCUCAAGGACGUCAAUUCCAUUCCAUACGACAAGAGUGAGGGGACGCAGAGGAAUUGCUUGAGUCUGCCUGCUGAACUUGCUUGUGCUCACUGCCUGCACUCUGAUGUAUGCAUCGCAGACAAAGCUUCAGACUUGAACCAAUGGAACACAUCUGCAGACAGAGCUUCAAACUACGUAUGCAAAAUCGAUAGACAAGUCUGGCUUGGUUAAGGCAUUUUUAAGAUAUGUAUUUUACAAGAUUGUGUUUGUGCGGCUAGUAUGCAAAACAGCCAUAAAUUUGAUUUGACUUUCCACGAAGAGCCGACGUAUAAUCGAAUUACCUCGAGCUGAGUGUGAGGAAGAUCUUAAACAAGUAUUGGAAGAAGAAGGUACCAUGCUAUUAAAAUAAGAGCUUAAACAAGUGUCAGGACUUUGGUAUAGAACAAAACAACUGUAUUAUAUAUCUAUGCAUUGUUUCAGAGCUCGGAACCAAUGGAGAACUUUGGUACGCGCAAGUGGAGUCAGACUGCCAAACGCUCGUCAAGGCGCUACAAGGCUCAGAAUUAGACAAGGCACCGGAAGGCAUCUUGUUUAAAGAAAUCAGAGUCUUUGCUCGUCAGAAUUUUAAUGUUUGCUCGUUCUCUUUUGCCCCAGGGCUUGUAAUGAUCUUCGCAUACUGUGGCUGCUUUUGGUCCUAACCUACAGGUUUCUUCUGAGAUCUGGCCGGAUGACCUGCCAAAUGAUGUAGUCGUUCACCUAAGUAGCAAUCUGGAUCAAAUUGAUCAAAAACAGAGGGAAACAGAGGCGAUGCGGUGAGAUCUAACUCAACACGGAGGAGAACAUGACAGGGUUUCGGGUUCACUCAUCACAGUCGUUGUCGCCGCCAAGAACGAAAGCUCCGCCGCUGCUGUCAACCAGAACAAAAGCUCCGCCGCCGCCGCCGGCUCACCGCCGGGAACGAAGAGGAUGGAGCAACAUAGGUUCAGACAGGGGUACCCAUUCGGACAGGCAUGGGGCACGUUUCACCUGAUGCACUGACAAGUGGGGCCCGUAACUAGACGCACUGCCAAGUAGGCCCCGCGCUUACGUGGAUAAGUUGUGGGUCCAUCCUCUAAGACACGUUUCACCUGAUGCACUGACAAGUGGGGCCCGUAAAUAGAUGCACUGCCAAGUAGGGCCCGUGCUUACGUGGAUAAGUUGUGGGUCCACCCUCUAAGACACGUUUCACCUGAUGCACUGACAAGUGGGUCCCGUAACUAGAUGCAAUGCCAAGUAGGGCCCGCGCUUACGUGGAUAAGUUGUGGUCCAACCCCUAACACCUAAUCAGGACAUGAGUUCAGAUUAAGGGCCAUGUCGUGUGUGGGAUAUUUUCUUGCUCAAAAGUGUCGCACCAAGGCAAUUCGAACGAAAGACGUCUCACUUCUUUCAAUUCACCUCAAAGAUAUCGCAUAGGAGCUAUUGACCCGAUGUGAUGUUCCACGACUCCUGCAUGGUCUCCUUCGCUCUCAUGCUCCGGUAGCUAGACAAGUCGACCACGAGCUCUGCCUUGAGCUCAGCUUCUUCGUCACACUCGAGGACCACCGUCGGCAUCAGCGCGCUCCCAUGUGGUCUUCACUGCAUCUCCGGCCAUUUCCUCGCGUCCAUCGAGCCCGUGGUGAGGCGCCGCUCCUUUGCGCCUCCAUUCCCGUUGUUUUCGUCCACCGUAGCUUGGUGUCGCUCAAGCCGGCGCCCUGUCCACCAUAGACGAGUCCUUAGAGCUCGUCCUGCACGCACACACCCAGUCACGUGCAUGCCCGUUCGUGAACAAUGCCCUCAGCAACACCCGCAUCGCACGGACCACAGCUCCGCAGUGAUCACUCCCGCCUCCGGCAUGCAAGCAUCCCCGCAGCCUCGCGUCGCCUUGCCUCCGUCCGCGACAGCUCUAUCCUUGAAGGUAGACCGGGGCAGGCAGUUGUCAUGAUCUCACCUGCCAGGCAUGGCCAGCGGCCUUCGGGAACUAUCAACGUGCACCGACAUCGAUGUCCGAAAAGGGACAACGUUUCGGAUGUGCUGCACCUUGCCGGCCAGCAGGCCUAUCCGCGGCAGUCCAGUCCCCGGAGGGCGAGACGGCGGAGGUGAGCUGCUGAAGUCCGCGACGCGGACAAGCAAUGGUGAGGCGGCGCCUGCUGCCGGAGUGCAGGUCUGCCGCCAAGGACCUCUUUGGAUACGAAGACUAGGUCGACACGCUGACAGGCUGAAACUUUUACUUCCUAGAAUGACCUCACGACUUGUAUACUGGAGGACGGAGUCAAGCGGUGCAAACUAUACCGCUCGUGGUUUCAUUGCCAAAUGGGAGCAGUAUAGAUCAGUGGCUACAAUUAGAUUUGACAAAUGGACGACCAGUAUUUAUCUCAGGGUAGCAUAAAAGAGUUCUUUCUGAUUUGUACCUAAUUACGGUGUUACCUUAACAGUAUAUUGUAGCUUCAUCUUGACAAAUGGCUUCGUCUAUUUUAUCAAAUCAAUCGACCCAUUUUAAAUGAACUGAAAAAUAUGUAAUAGCAAGAGAGUUAUAUUUCCAUUGUCAUGCAUAUGUUUUCUGUUUUAUUUUUCAUUGAAUCCCGACGCCUCCCUCGUAGCUAUAGACGUUGUUAUAUUACAUCAUGUUGAUACUCGAAAAUAGUGCUGUAUAAUUUACAGAUAUUUAUACAAAUACUUAUUAUAACAUUAUGAAUGUGUUACAUGCCACUAUACUUUGGAUUUGUAUCUAGUACGUACCUUCAAUUUUGCUAGACCACUUAUCUUUCUAGAGUAUUUUGUUCGCAACAUGGCCAUAAUUAUGUGCUUCGCGGUUGGUGUUCUGUCCUAGAAAUAUUAUUUAUCUUAGCUAUUUUAUUUUUCAUUCAGGUACACGAGUACAGUCACACAUAAAAGAAGAAAAGUAAAAGAACAAAACUUUAACUUGAUCCUGCUAUUCUAGUUGAACAUGGUUGAUGCAUGACUUGUACCUUAAUUUCUCAAAGAAACAUUUUCUUGCAGAAGUACAUUUAUUAGAGAUAUGACCAAACAUUUCUCUCAGCACGUGGUGUCCGUUUCUUCCUAGAUGUCAAAGAGAUUAAUCAGGUGUUUGAAGGAGAAAAGCCACAAAAGAAGGUAAUCAUGUGUUAUAUUUUCUUUUAAAAUUUACAGUAGAAAACAGUAUCUACAAUUAUCUUCUGUUAGUAUUGGGCAUGGAAGUUUGUCAAGUAGGUUACACAUUCAGAAGCUCAUGACCAAACGUUUUAAAAUAAACCAGCAUUUUAGUGUAUAGAUGGAUGUAUGCAGAAGCUCAAGACAACAAGUGUGUGUAUAUAUACAGCUUCCGCAUCAAAUGACGGCCGGGCCUCAUCCCUUUACCUUCUUCCAUUCAACCUGCUCCGUAAGUUUCUUUGUCAGUAUAAAGUAGAGAUUGUGUGGUUUGCCUACCUUACCCACUCGAUGAAAGGGAAUUAACUUCGUUUCCUUGGUGCGAGACAUGCCGUUUUCUCUAUUUGUACAUUUACUUUAAUAUUCUUGUUUUAGAGAUUUUUUAUCACAUGUUUUCAUUUGUUUAUCUUAUGCAGAAGAAAAAUGAUCGCAGUGGUCAGGCAAGUGGUAUGAAACCCCAACUAUACAACUUUGAAUUCUUGAGUUCACACAAAAUUUCCAGUAAUUUUCUAUUGUAACUCUAGAAAUUUACCUCAUAUUGUGAUACUAAAUUUCAAUCCUUUUGUUUAAUUGAAGUGUCUCCUUAUUCUAGAG
rnacentral:lncRNA from 1 species